GUUCCUGGAUUCACACCUGGCUCUGCCAAUUGGCUGGUGUGGUAAUCAGUUAAUUCACAUCAACGUGAAACCUCCACUUACUCAUCAAGAUAGUAAAAAAUAGAUAUCCUCAUGGUCACUUACAACUUCAAGAUCCUAACCAAUUGUGUGGAGGAGAACAUUACUGAGUAAUCAUAAGAAACUCCCCUCUGUAACCUGACUCCUGCCCUGUCUCUGUAUGCUGAGGACGUAUGAGGGCAUCAUGGACAUGGCGGCUCAUGGAAGUUUUAUAGCUGUGUAGAAAAGAGCCUGGAAAGUGUACCAUCCACUCUUACUACCUGUUACAAAGGAUGCAUCUCUCAUAAGUGUCUGGAGAGGCUGUAUAUGGAGCUAUCAGAGAGGAAGUCGCUGUUAGAAUUCUCAUCAAUGGCUGCUGUGAUGUGGAAGACUAAGAAGCUAUUAUUUGAAUCUUUAUUAAGGAGAUAAUUGUAAAUCACUGGCCCACCCACAAUCUCCUGGGUUAAAAUUGUUCAACUACACACCGCUAACUGUCCAGGUAUUCCAUUCACCCAUCCUACUGUGACUCUUAGAUGGAAUUGAGUGAACCCUUAGAUGGAUACAAAGUACACAGAAGUAGCUUCUGCUGAAGAAAAAAUUAAGACUAGAACCAAUAUAAAGUAGACAGAAAACCAUAGCCUAAAAGAUGCUGCUGAUCCAUCUAAGAAUGUAGACACAGCAUGAGAAACUUUGAAACCCUGUAGGUUAAGAAGAUCAUCACAGUAUUACUCUGCCCAUACUGGUGAUUAACUUGAUAAUAUUUCUCUCCCCCUAGGUAUUAUGGUCACUAAUCUUUUUAAAUGUA
rnacentral:lncRNA from 1 species